rnacentral:SRP_RNA from 1 species
GCCGGGUGCUGUGGCACGUGCCUGUAGUCCCAGCUACUCGGGAGGCUGAGGUGGGAGGAUCGCUUGAGCCCAGGAGUUCUGGGCUGUAGUGCGUUAUGCUGGGUGUCCGCACUAAGUUCAGCAUCAAUAUGGUGAACUCCUGGGAUCAGGGGACCACCAGGUUGCCUAAGGAGGGAUGAACCGGCCCAGGUCAGAAACGGAGCAGGUCAAAACUCCUGUGCUGAUCGUUAGUGGGAUCACGCCUAUGAAUAGCCACUGCACUCCAGCCUGGGCAAUGUAACAAGACUCCAUCUCU